rnacentral:rRNA from 1 species
AUUGAACGCUGGCGGCAUGCUUUACACAUGCAAGUCGAACGGUAACAGGCCGCAAGGUGCUGACGAGUGGCGCACGGGUGAGUAAUGCAUCGGAACGUGCCCAGUCGUGGGGGAUAACUACUCGAAAGAGUAGCUAAUACCGCAUACGAUCUAUGGAUGACAGCGGGGGACCGUAAGGCCUCGCGCGAUUGGAGCGGCCGAUGUCAGAUUAGGUAGUUGGUGGGGUAAAGGCUCACCAAGCCAACGAUCUGUAGCUGGUCUGAGAGGACGACCAGCCACACUGGGACUGAGACACGGCCCAGACUCCUAAGGGAGGCAGCAGUGGGGAAUUUUGGACAAUGGGCGCAAGCCUGAUCCAGCAAUGCCGCGUGCAGGAAGAAGGCCUUCGGGUUGUAAACUGCUUUUGUACGGAACGAAACGGCUCUGGUUAAUACCCGGGGCUAAUGACGGUACCGGAAGAAUAAGCACCGGCUAACUACGUG